UUCUUAUAUUUAUGUAUGCAAUUUAUUCUCAAACAAAUUAGCGCACACAGCAAUCUACUUCAUAUCUUAAAACAGCUAUUGACAUUCCUUUCGGGAGGAUUGUCUGUAAAAAAACACCUAGUUUGCUUUAUUCUUUCCUUAUGAACAUACACCGCUCUACUACACUAAAUUUAUCACGGAGUUUAGGGUUUGGAUCCUGCGACUUCUGUGCUGUUAUGUUCUCGGGUCUGUACUUAUUUCAGUUCAGUUGCUUCGGAGAAGGCUCAGGAUUUUGCUGAAUUAUUAGCUACGCUAAUAUGCUUCCAAUUCUAAAUUGGAGGAAGUAACACAGACAGGUUGAUAUUUUUGCAUGAGGGCAUGGGCUCUGAGAGUGCAGUAUAUAAUAAUUGAGUGCAGGAUUUGAAUUUGUAAUUAUUUAAUGCAGGAUUGGAAUUCACAUUCUUGUUUGGGGUAAUUUAUACUUGGUUAAGGGACUGGUUUGAAGCAUGCAGCGACCAGGGGGAGAAGCUCCUCCUCAGUUCAGGAACGGCCCUCCUCUCCCUCCUGGCUCAGGCCCCAGGCCAGGAAUGAUGAACAUGGGUCGUCCUUAUGCUCCACCUCCAAUUCAGGGUCGAGGUCCCAUGAUGCACCAACGUCCUCCGUUCCCUCACGGACAGCAACAGCAGCAGAGCCCUAGAUUUGGACCUCCUCAAUCUCAUAUGUUGCCACCAGGGAACCUGGUUGCACCACCUUCUGGACAGCCAAUGCCAGCUGCACCACCACCUCCUAAUAUUGCGCUGCCUUCUCUAGGAACCAUGCCAUCUAGGCCUCUGACUGGUCCUGCAGCAGCUGGUUCCCCACUGCCUGCUGUGGGUCCUAGAGGGCCACUACCUCUUCCAGGGAAGCAACCAUUGCUUCCAGCGACGUUAAAUUUACCUCAAUCUCCUAUUAUCAAUGCCCCUCUAUCUUUGGGCCCUCCUCUUCUUGCUGCUCCCGUGCAGGUUUCUCAAGGACUGCUGACUGCUCCUAGUUUGCUUUCACAGCCUCCUAGGCCAAAAGAUGAUGAAAUUAUCCGCAACAUUGAAAUUUUAGUGCAGUUUGUUCUCAAGAAUGGACCUGAGUUCGAAAACAUGGCUCGGGCUAAACAGGCAGGCAAUCCAAAGUUUUCAUUUUUAUUCGGUGGGGAACUUGGAAGUGAUGCAGCAAUAGGAUAUGAAUAUUACCAAUGGUUGAAGAGGAAAAGCCAGCUGGAUCAAAGUGCAGGGAGGGAGGGAGAGGCCAAAGUUCAAUUGCAGGCUCCAUCAGUGUCUCCUGAUUCGAAUCAGCAGCACAUGGAUUCAAAAGGUGUGCACUUGGGAGGGGCUUUGACAGUUUCUGUGGUUUCAGACAUGGAGGUUGACAUGGACAUGGAAGAUGACAGUGUAGAGCCUAUGUUAGUGACUGAGGAUGUAAAGAAUUUCCAGGCUACUGGCAGAAAGGAAGGAGAAGUUUGGCCAUCAGUUGACAAUGAACAGGGAGAAAAAGGAGAAACUCUGUCUUUACAGGUGAAGAGUUUGGCAGCUGAAGGUGGAAAUCAUAUUGAGGCAUCCCAAUUAGAGUUUCAGAAAGAAAAAGGAAAAUGCCUAGAGCCUGCAUUUGAAGUUCCAUGUGUUGAAGAUGUGAGUCCAAUCCGGCCUUUACGAAAAGAGCUACAGCAUUCAUUGACAAAUGACAAUUUAGAGGCCAAAAGUUUCCCUAUCUUGAAAGAAGACCCACCAAUUGCAUCCAACAGAAUGGCAGAAUCUGAUGCUAUGGUGAGAUCUGUGGUUGGUGUGGGGUCAGAAACUGUAAAGUUGGUUGACAAUAAAAGUGGAGAGAAACAUGGCAGGGAAGAUAUAGAGUGCCAGAAGCUAGAAGCCGAUACUGCUUGUAAUCAUACUAAAAUGUUAAAUGAUGAUCUUCUUUCCCAAAAUACUAGAGAUAGGUUUGUUUCAUCAAACAAUAAUAUGGCUUUGGAACCAGAUUAUCUGAAGUAUAAUUUUACUUUGGAAACAGAUAUUGUAAAACCUGAUUCUGCUUUGGCUCCUGAUCAUGUGAAAUCUGAAAUGGGUCUCCAUGGAAAGCGAGAAGAUGAAUUAGAAAGAUUUGAUAAAUAUGGUAGACUAAUGAGAAGAGGCAACAGUGAUAGUGAAUCAGAUGAUAUGCCCCCUACUACAAAAUUUAGGAGGGAUUCUAGUUGGAGUAGAAGUCCAUCUCCAGGGUAUGAUAGAUGGAGAAAGAGGAGUUACAGUCGUUCUCCCAGAAGAAAGUCCAGGUGGAGCAGAUCUCACAGCCGCUCUCCCAAACGGCGCAGGAGCAGAAGUAGGACACCGCCACAUAACCACAGGCGAGGGGGAGAUUCGAGGUAUGAUCAUAUGAGCAGAGGAAGAGGGACACCUCCCCCAUGUAAUGACUUUGCAAAAGGAAGGUGUUAUAGAGGAGCAUCUUGUAAGUUUCUUCACCAUGAUGUUUCUGGUGAUAAUGCUAGUAGGUGGGCUGGUGGAGGAAGGGUGAGGGGAAGGUUAGAGAACAGACAAGAUGUGGCAAAAUCUGCAGGUAGCAAGGAUGGUUUUUUAUCUGGGGAGUUGGAGAAGCUUAACAGCAUUUCACCGGAGAGAUUCUUUGAUGGGCAUGAUAAUCGCAGUUUUGAUGAGAGACAGAACCAGGAAUCAUAUAAACAAAAUGAUUGUGCACCUGCUCCAUGCUUCAAUUUUUCAAAGGGUAGGUGUUAUAGAGGAGCAUCGUGCAGAUAUCUUCAUUCUGAGACAACUGCUGAUACAGGUGGUAGAUGGCAUGGUUCUGCAAAAGGAAGAGAACGGACGGAGACCAGGCAAGACUCUACAAAAUCUUUUUCUGGGAGGGAUAGUUUUGGUGUUGGAGAAAUGGAAAGGGAAGAAAAUAAUUCACCUCAUAGAUUCCGUGAUGAUCAUUAUAGACACAAUUUCAGAGAGAGAAGAAGCCAAGAGGUGGACAGGCCUCAUAUUCGUUCAGUUCCAGCAUGUAUAUUUUUUGCAAGAGGGAAUUGCCAAAAGGGACCAUCCUGCAGAUUCCUUCAUGAGGAUAGUUCUGGUCAGAAUGUUGGUGCAAGGGGUAGAGAAAAAUCCAGUACUCGGGCAGAGUUAACAGUGCCUUUUGGUGACAAGAGGUUUUCUGGUAUUGCAGAGAUGGACAGGAACAGGGACAUUCCCCUUGAAAGGACUUCUGAUGGUCAGGAUAGAUGGGAUUCAUUGAGACACAAAACCCAAGAAGCACAUAUGCAGAAUGCUUCAUCUGCAAACACUGUUAUAAAACCACAAUUUUCAUCUCCAGGCAGGGAAAAAUCUCAACCUCAGAGAGAGGAAUUACCGACAUAUUCAAUGCCAACUACAGAUGCUUCAACUCUGCAUGAUAAUAGGGAAAAUCUUGAACUUCAAUUCAUACAAACAAAACAAUUACACUCCAAUUCAGCAUCUUGGGAAAAUGUUGAUGCACAGAUCCCUCAGGAUGGUUCUGGUGCAGAAUCUCUGAGAGCACAGGUCCACCCUGACAACUCUGUGACAAAUUUGGGUCUGCAACCUUUGCAAAAUAGUGAUAAUAAAUUUCAUGUGGAACACAUACAUUCCAAUGAGGAUUUGCAUUUAACUCCCCUGCAGCCCUUGCCUAGGGAUUUACCUUCUCAUCAGCAUCAUGCUGCUAUGAGAUUUUCGUCAUUGUCAGGGCAGCCUCCUGGAUCUGGAGGUUCAUCUUUGAGUCAGCAUGAUACUUUACAAGGGAUGCCACUUUCACACUUAAAUGUAGCAAAGAGCAUCGAUCCUCUUCCUCCUGGAUAUCCAUUAAAUUCCUAUUAUGAUCAUCCACAUUCUGAGAUUGCAGGAUCUUCAAUAGCAUAUGAACCCAGAUCUAUUGCUACUAACCCCAUCUCAACUAAUCCCACCUUAAUUCCUCAACCUCCUCCUGAUCAUGCUAAAUUUGUUCAGGAGUUUGAACAUGCUGUAAAUGUUCAUAUUGACAUGCCAACAACCAGUGCAAUCCAGAAACCGGCAUGCUCUCAGACUUCCUUGGAAUUAGAAUUACCAAAUGUUUCAAGCACUGAACAGGAAGCUCUAAUGCAGAGACCCACAUCAAUACCACUUCUGGCUCCUGAGAGUAAAUCAGGACCGGCUGCAUCAGCUCCAUUUGUGUUAUUUGGAGAACAUAUAACUAAUUUAUUAUCCCACGGUGUGACUCCAUUGACAGUAGGCCAUUCUACUAUUAAUCACCCCCCUCAAGACAUAUCAGCCGGAGGAGACCAGCAUAAUCCUUUAUCUGACACUGUUGAGUAUUCAUCCGGAGCCAGUGAAUUCUUGAAGAAGGUACCUGAAUCUCCCAAAGUUCAGGAUGUUAAAGGAGUAGUGGUAGAGUUAAAUACAACCCCUUUACCAGAGGCUGUUAUCUUAAAUAAGGAUGACCAUGUCAAAUCCGGUAGUCCUUCCAAGGUUCAGGAUAUUGUUGAAGAUGAUAAAUGUAAAGAUGCUACCAUGCACACUACAAUGGAAACUGAUCAUCAAGCGGUAAAUACAGACAUGCAUGCUGGCAUAAAUAUAUUAGAGAAUGGAAGUCCUGCACGUGAAGGGAAAAAUUGGAGUCCAGGAGCAACAGGUGCUGCAGAUAUUGACACAGACCAAGCUCAUGUACAAGAUGAAAGCAAAAAAAGUAAAGAAAUCAGAAUAGUGAAACAAUUUAGGUCCGUACUUGCAGAAUUUGUAAAAGAUGUGCUGAAACCUACAUGGCGAGAAGGUCACAUGAGUAAGGAGGCUUUUAAAACAAUUGUCAAGAAGGUUGUUGACAAGGUUGCAGGGUCACUACAGAUCCAUCAAAUACCAAAGACACAAGAGAGAAUUGACCAGUAUCUUGCAUCAUCUCGGCCAAAGCUGACAAAGCUUGUUCAAGGCUAUGUUGAUAAGUAUGUGAAGUCUUGAAUAGCAUUGUAGAAGCUAAAGACCAUCUAAUGUUUCAGUUGUUCAUAGAGCUUUUAAGGGCCAUUAAACAAGAAGUGGCAGUACUUGAUGGUCCAAGUCCAACAACAUCAAUCUACUGGUCUAUCCAAGUAAAUGGUGCUUGCUUCCUUUUCUCAAGGCAUCGGCCAACCACCAUCAAAUCCACUCAACAUCCUUAAGCUCAAAUGAAAACUUAUUACAACAAAUAUCUACUAGAGGCACAAAUGACAGACCCUGCUCAUUUCAUGCUUUAAGCCACUUGAUGUCUUUAACACAAGUGCUGGAUAUGGUGAUGUCCUAAUUCAGUGCAUCUUUGGCCUUCUCUCACACUAUCAAUGAAAUCAAGACAAUCCCUCUACUCAAGGGGAGUGCUCGCCCACCAUGUCACUCUGAACCGGCUACAUCUAAUGCUAUCAAAAGUCUGGAUUCCACUAUCCACAAAAUGACAAAGGAAAUCAAAGAUGGUGCGCUCGAUCCUCUGUUCUCCAAAAUUGCAUUCUUCACUUGCUUGUGGUUGGUAACAAGUCUAGCAACAAAGCAUUGUGGUUAUUGAAGAUGCGCUUCACCAAGACCCUACAAAAUGCAAAUAUGCCGAGUUCCUUCAAGAAUUGGUCUACGAAAAUGACAGAAAGUAGGACUCCCUUUAGCUGAAACCAGCAAAUCAACCUCUCGAAGGUUAUCCUCAUGAGAUCCACUGGCUCUCAUCCUGAGCCCCCUACCUUGAAAUUGAUCCACAGGUCUACGAAAAAACCAACUGGCUUGGGGGACCCUGUUUCACUUGAGUCUCACGAGGAUCUGUGAUCUCUGCUCCAGUCUUUCUUUUUGAAGCUCCCAUUUUUCUAGCAAUGUGCAAAAUGGCAUCUUUGGUUUUUGUGCAACUUUGCUCAAUAUAGUCUUGUACUCAACUCCAAGAGCCUAUCAUGAGCCUGGAGCUGACAUGCUGGUUUUCGUGGCGCUCUAGCUCUAUAUAGUCUUGCACUCGACUCCAAGAACCUAUUAUGGGCCUGGAGCUGACCUGCUAUUGUAAUAUCUCUUUUCUAUCGAAUACAGCUCUUCCUUUGUUGAACACAAAUAUGGAUGUAAAGUUCCUACCACCAGUCAAGUUUUUCUAUUUCAGAUCAGCAAUAAUAUUCUCUAAUAAACCAUUGCCUCAGCAAGGACUGCAACUUAGUAUUUUGGCAUGUAUAUAACUUAACAUCGAAAUUAAGUUGAAUAUUUAACUAGUAUAACGUUUCAUAUACGUUUUAUAUACGUCUUAAAAAAUAUAGAGAGGUAGCUUCAUUGUUUACUAAAGAGCUAUUUUUAUUUAGUUAAAAGAGUUUAUUAUAUUUUA